CUGCUUUAUAUGUGCUUCAGUGCAUAUUUGAUUCUUCUGCACUGGCCUCUUCAUUUGUUGCCAUGAUGUCACCUCUCUUUGCUGUCCCUUCUGGGACACUGGAUGGACUAAUGACUAAAAACUAAUGGAAGCUAUACCUACCCUCCUGAGCCCAUUUGCAUGAGAGGAUCAUUGUUUGUAUCAUUUUUUGCACAGGUCCUGCCCCAGGUCCCCACAAUGUAGCAUUUAUAACAUCAUGCUGUAAAUUUAAUGAAGCUUUACUUAAGGUUUGAGUAGAAAGGUAGCUGUAAACUCUGGGAAGAAUUGAUAAUGAAUUCCAGAUCCUGGGACUUGCUUUGGACUCAACACAUCUAUCUAGUCUUCAGCUGAUAUCUACCUCCUGACUAAUGAAUCUCCCUGGCCCCUGGACUUUUAACCUGAAACACAGCCUAAAACAGAAGCUGUCCUUGUGCUGAGAAUGGUAGGAUGAAGAUUUUUUUUCCUUAGGCAGAAGGAACAGUAAAUGCAGAGACCCUGAGAUAAGGAAAGGGUGCGUGACUUAUUCAAAGCAGAGCAAGGAAGCCCAAAGACCAGAGCAGAGUGCAGGAAAGGGGCGGUGGCCCGAGAUACAGUCAGAGCAGUGGUAAGUCCCCAGAGUCUGUGGCAAAGACUUCAGAUUUCAUCCUGAAUAGGAAGACAAGUCUUUGGGGAGUUUUGAUCAAGGGAGUAAGAUGAAAUAUCAUAGGCUUAAAAACAACCAUUCUGACAACUAAAUGGAAAAUGGACUGAUGAAGAAAAAGAAGCCACAAGGAAG